rnacentral:rRNA from 1 species
UACGUAGGGUGCGAGCGUUGUCCGGAAUUAUUGGGCGUAAAGGGCUCGUAGGCGGUUUGUCGCGUCGGGAGUGAAAACCCAGGGCUUAACCCUGGGCUGGCUUCCGAUACGGGCAGGCUAGAGGUAUGCAGGGGAGAACGGAAUUCCUGGUGUAGCGGUGGAAUGCGCAGAUAUCAGGAGGAACACCGGUGGCGAAGGCGGGUCUCUGGGCAGUAACUGACGCUGAGGAGCGAAAGCGUGGGGAGCGAACAGG